UCCUGAGGGGAACCAGCGCCGGAUAAAAACGGGGAAGGGAGGGAGGUGAACAGAGCUGAGGGAAACCGGGAAAAGGGGAGCGAUAGAAACCGGAGUAGGGGAAGCCGGGCUCAGGGGAAAAGGGGGUGUUGGAGAGUGGUAGAGCCGGGCUGAGAGAAAAACCAAGCAGGGGAAGCGGCGAUCCGGGGAGAACGGAGAGAGGGAGACCGAGGGCUGUGGGGUUGUGGAGGCCAGGAGUCUAGAACGUCUUACAAGGUUAACAUCAAGAUGUUGGCAGAGCUGGUUCCUUUUGGACGCUCUAGAGCAAGCUUUUCCAACCUGCAGCUGCGGGCUAAAUUCGGCCCAGGAUGGCUUUGAAUGUGAGGACAUUUUUGUUUAUCUGUGUGAUGGAUAUCAUGAAAAUUAUGCACGGUCCCUUUUUUUUUUUUUUGGCUCAUCACCUAUCGUUAGUGUUAGUGUUUGUGUGAAAUACAUUCCCAUGAUCAAAUUACCUCCCACCAGGUCCCUCUGCCAAUAUUUGGAGUUACAAUUCAACAUGAGAUUUGGGUGGGGACACAGAGCCAAACCAUAUCAUGGUGUUUCGCUGUGUUGCCCAGGCUGGUCUCAAACUCCUGGGCCCAAGCAAUAUGCCCGUCCUUGGCCUCCCAAAGUGCUGGGAUUACAGUCAUGAGCUACCACAUCUGACUGAUCCUGGCGCUUCUGAUCUCUCUUACCUUUCCCUUUUUUUUGUUUUGAGACAGAGUUUCACUCUGACACCCAGGCCUGGAGUGACCGCUCACUGCAGCCUCAACCUCCUAGGUACAAGCAAUACUCUCACAUCAGCCUCCCCAGUAGCUGGGAUUAUAGGUGCAUACCACCAUGCCCAGCUACUUUAUUUAUUUUUUAUUGUUUGUAGAAACAAGGUCUGUGUUGCCCAGGCUGGUCUCGAAUUCCUAGCCGUAAGCUAUCCUCCUGCCUCUGACUCCCAAAGUGCUGGGAUUACAGGCGUGAGCCACCACGCCCGGCCUUCUCCCUUCUUACAAAGAAAGACAUCAGUCAUUGGAUUACAGCCUACUCUAAUCCACUAUGACCUUAUCUUAACUUGAUUCCAUCUGCAAAGACUCUUUCUGAAUAAAGUCAUAUCCACAGGUAUUAGGGUUUGGACUUGAACAUAUCUACUGGGGGGACACAACUGAACCCCCAACCUCCACCCAGCUUUAUCAGUACUUUACACACGAUGCCCCGGCCACACUGGUCUUCUCUCGGGUCCUCAAAUGCCAAGUUUGUUUCCACCUCAGGGCCUCUGCGUUUGCUGUUGCCUCUGCCAGGAACACUCAGCCCACGGAUCUUCACCUAGCCAGCUCCUUCUCAUUCUAAGGAUAGAUUAUUACCAUCUCACGGAGACCUCCCUGCCACCCUAGGAAAAGUGCCCCUCUUCUUAUAAAGGCCUCCCUUUUAUAUAUACCAUUUUAUUAUCCUCAUAUUAUCAUCAUAUCUGGACCUAUCUUACUUGUUUUUGUACUUUCUGUCUUCCUUCUACCCCCAUGCCACCCAGAAUAUAAGCUCUGUGAAAGAGGAAUGUUUGUGGUUUUAAUAUGUACAGACAUUCUCUGACACUCCUCCCUUCAAAAAGUGGUGCCUAAUUCUUCCCAGCCCUCUUCAAUGUGGGCUGGACUUAUUUCUAAGACACAGAGUGUGGCAGAAGGGAUCCCAUGUAACUCCUGAGGCUAGGUCAUAGAAAGGAUAGCAUCAGCUUGACUCACUCCAUUUUGGAUCAUUUGCUCUGAGGGAAGCCAUCUGCCAUGUUGGAAGGACACUCAAGCAGCCUUAUGGAGAAUCCCACAUGGAGAAGAAAUAGUUGCCAGGCAUGGGAGUGAGGACUUCAAAAGUAGAUCUUUCAGAUGAUUUCAGCCCCGCAACCUUCAAUUCUUCCGGCUGACACCCCAGACAUACAGAGCCAAGACAAACCAUCCCCAAUGCCCACUGUGCCCUCUCUGAAUUCCUGACCCACAGAAAUCAUCAGAUAAUAAAUGGUUAUUCUUGUUUUAA